GACGUAGGUGGCGAACGUUAUCCGGAAUUAUUGGGCGUAAAGGAUGCGUAGAUGGUGUAGUAAGUUAUCGGUGGCAAAUCGAGGCUCAACCUCGUGGAAGUCGGUAAUACUGCUAUGCUAGAGGAUAGGAGAGGUUAACGGAACUCCCUGUGGAGCGGUGAAAUGCGUAGAUAUCAAGUGGAACACCAGUGGCGAAGGCGAGUCUCUGGACAUUUCCUGACGCUGAGGCACGAAAGCCAGGGGAGCAAACGGG
rnacentral:rRNA from 1 species